rnacentral:tmRNA from 1 species
CCCCUUGCACGAUGAUCCGUCCCGUCCUACAUUCAUCCUGUCGGGGCAACCCGAAUAUGGUGAUAAACGCGCAGGUAAUAAGCGGAUUGGACCCGGGGGCGGUACCCGGCGGCUCCACCAAACAUCCCUUGUUGGGGGAACAUGGGGCCGAAAUAGGAUCGACAAACGUCUAAAGCUGUUUGCUUUUACUCGGUGAGCUACCACCGAUAUCGGUGCAAUAUAGUAUAGUUGCCAACAACAACCAUGCUCCGGUCGCAGUCGCAGCGUAAGCUGUCACUAGACCGAUACUUAAGUCCUUACGCCUAGCCGCGUAGGGCGGGGUCCGCAGGCACCUGGCAACAGAAGCCUGCACU